GAUUGGCAUGUGAACCAUGCGAUCCGGACGAGGGGCACCGUACCCGGCCAGCGACAAGACGGCGCCGA
rnacentral:ncRNA from 1 species